UACGGAAGGCAGCAGUGGGGAAUAUUGCACAAUGGGCAAAGCCUGAUGCAGCUAUGCCGCGUGUAUGAAGAAGGCCUUAGGGUUGUAAAGUACUUUCAUCGGGGAGGAAAAACAAAACUAAUAAUUUUAUUUCUUGACGUUACCCGAAAAAGAAGCACCGGCUAACUCCGUGCCAGCAGCCGCGGUAAUACGGAGGGUGCUAGCGUUAAUCAGAAUUACUGGGCGUAAAGAGCACGUAGGUGGUUUUUUUAAGUCAGAUGUGAAAUCCCUGGGCUUAACCUAGGAACUGCAUUUUGAAACUGAAAUACUAGAGUAUCGUAGAGGGAGGUAGAAUUCUAGGUGUAGCGGUGAAAUGCGUAGAUAUCUGGAGGAAUACCUGUGGCGAAAGCGGCCUCCUAAACGAAUACUGACACUGAGGUGCGAAAAGCGUGGGGAGCAAAACAGGGAUUAGAUACC
rnacentral:rRNA from 1 species